rnacentral:rRNA from 1 species
GACGAACGCUGGCGGCGUGCUUAACACAUGCAAGUCGAGCGAGGCUCCUUCCUUCGGGAGGGAUGCCCUAGCGGCGAACGGGUGAGUAACACGUGGGCAACCUGCCCCUAGCACUGGGAUAACUCCGGGAAACCGGGGCUAAUACCGGAUACGACCUCUGAGGGCAUCCUCCGGAGGUGGAAAGCAUUGUGGCUAGGGAUGGGCCCGCGGCCUAUCAGCUUGUUGGUGAGGUAACGGCCCACCAAGGCGACGACGGGUAGCCGGCCUGAGAGGGCGACCGGCCACACUGGGACUGAGACACGGCCCAGACUCCUACGGGAGGCAGCAGUGGGGAAUCUUGCGCAAUGGCCGAAAGGCUGACGCAGCGACGCCGCGUGGGGAGGAAGGCC